GGGAACAGGACAUUGCAUCAUUGGCAUGGACCCGUUAACACUUUAGUUUUAAUACCAUCAUAUUAAAACUACAACAUCCCUAACUCUGACCAUAUGGGACGCAAAACGAUCCACAAAACAUACAAACCACCACAUCUCCCCUGCAAAACCAAUAAAAGCAUUCACGUACCAAACUUCAACACCAACAUGUGGACCUGCCACGGCAACUCCCUU